rnacentral:rRNA from 1 species
GACGAACGCUGGCGGCGUGCUUAACACAUGCAAGUCGAACGGAAGGGCCCUGCUUUUGUGGGGUGCUCGAGAGGCGAACGGGUGAGUAACACGUGAGUAACCUGCCCUUGACUUUGGGAUAACUUCAGGAAACUGGGGCUAAUACCGGAUAGGAGCUCCUGCUGCAUGGUGGGGGUUGGAAAGUUUCGGCGGUUGGGGAUGGACUCGCGGCUUAUCAGCUUGUUGGUGGGGUAGUGGCUUACCAAGGCUUUGACGGGUAGCCGGCCUGAGAGGGUGACCGGCCACAUUGGGACUGAGAUACGGCCCAGACUCCUACGGGAGGCAGCAGUGGGGAAUAUUGCACAAUGGGCGGAAGCCUGAUGCAGCAACGCCGCGUGCGGGAUGACGGCCUUCGGGUUGUAAACCGCUUUCGCCUGUGACGAAGCGUGAGUGACGGUAAUGGGUAAAGAAGCACCGGCUAACUACGUG